GGCAGCCUCCGCUGAAAUCCUGCAAUCCAUCUGAGCGGUGACAUGAUGUGACUGUGUUUCCUGAAGGAAGCGUUCCUUUCUUGGACACUAGCCCAAGGUCACAGGAAGGAAAGCAGAAUUCCUGUGUGUUAGCUGGUGUCAGGCGGGAGGACCUCCGAGGCUUGGUUCCUGGACUCAUCAUGUGCUGGACUCUUGGGGCAUGGCACUAUACAAAGCCUGCUGGGGAAGGAAUAUACCACACCCUGCAGGGUGGGCCUGACGGAACUUACCUCACUGGGUCCAAGCACCACUGGCUGAGGCCAUUACCCCCUGGAGAGAAGCUUUACUCCAGCGCCAUCCUGUACUGACUGACCAUGAGGUCAUAGCUGUGGGGUACUAUUCCUCUAAUCUUUUGGAAGCCUCUUUCCUGGCCCUGGAUGUUUUCUUCCCCUGUGAGCACUGACAAGGUGUCACCUAUUCUGUCUUUGAACUUGAAGCAGCCAGGGAGGACCUUGAACUUUUCUGAUUCUACUGCCUCUACCUUCAGAAGGUUGGGAUUAUGGGACUGCAGGCCUGUGCCUCCAGGUCUGGUCACACAGUGCCAUGGAGGAACCUCGACUUGGCGCAUGCUCAGCAAACACUCCUGCGUAGGUGGUUGUUCCCAUCUCUUUAGGAGUCUCUCCUGUUGUUCUUGUGAUUUGAAAGGAUACUACAAGUCCCUUUCUCACGUUGAUUUCGAGAGAAAAGGAAACUUUGUUGCUUGUCGUCAGCUCCCCUUUCUCAAACAAGGCUUGUGUCUCUAGACCUGAAACCCCACUGUCAAAGCUGGUGUUAGGAAGCAGGCGUCAGCAAACUGCGCCCCACAAACCACUGGCUUCUGUAAAUAAAGUUUUACUGGCCCG